UNGGCGGCGUGGUUAAGACAUGCAAGUCGAACGAGAGAAUUGCUAGCUUGCUAAUAAUUCUCUAGUGGCGCACGGGUGAGUAACACGUGAGUAACCUGCCCCCGAGAGCGGGAUAGCCCUGGGAAACUGGGAUUAAUACCGCAUAGUAUCGAAAGAUUAAAGCAGCAAUGCGCUUGGGGAUGGGCUCGCGGCCUAUUAGUUAGUUGGUGAGGUAACGGCUCACCAAGGCGAUGACGGGUAGCCGGUCUGAGAGGAUGUCCGGCCACACUGGAACCGAGACACGGUCCAGACACCUACGGGUGGCAGCAGUCGAGAAUCAUUCACAAUGGGGGAAACCCUGAUGGUGCGACGCCGCGUGGGGGAAUGAAGGUCUUCGGAUUGUAAACCCCUGUCAUGUGGGAGCAAAUUAAAAAGAUAGUACCACAAGAGGAAGAGACGGCUAACUCUGUACCAGCAGCCGCGGUAAUACAGAGGUCUCAAGCGUUGUUCGGAAUCACUGGGCGUAAAGCGUGCGUAGGCUGUUUCGUAAGUCGUGUGUGAAAGGCGCGGGCUCAACCCGCGGACGGCACAUGAUACUGCGAGACUAGAGUAAUGGAGGGGGAACCGGAAUUCACGGUGUAGCA
rnacentral:rRNA from 1 species